CCUACGGUGUGCAGCAGUGGGGAAUAUUGGACAAUGGGCGAAAGCCUGAUCCAGCCAUGCCGCGUGUGUGAAGAAGGCCUUCGGGUUGUAAAGCACUUUCAGUGGGGAAGAAAGCCUUGGGGCUAAUACCCUCGAGGAAGGACAUCACCCACAGAAGAAGCACCGGCUAACUCCGUGCCAGCAGCCGCAGGUAAUACGGAGGGUGCGAGCGUUAAUCGGAAUUACUGGGCGUAAAGCGCGCGUAGGCGGUCUGAUAAGCCGUUUGUGAAAGCCCCGGGCUCAACCUGGGAACGGCAUCCGGAACUGUCAGGCUAGAGUGCAGGAGAGGAAGGUAGAAUUCCCGGUGUAGCGGUGAAAUGCGUAGAGAUCGGGAGGAAUACCAGUGGCGAAGGCGGCCUUCUGGACUGACACUGACGCUGAGGUGCGAAAGCGUGGGUAGCAAACAGGAUUAGAUACCCGGGUAGUC
rnacentral:rRNA from 1 species